CUGGCCGGCUUCGAAGAAGCCGGCCAGGCGGCCUAAAUUUGCAAAGGGUAUUUGAAUAUGGUAUGGGAUAUAAGAGAAGAGACAGGAGAGUAGGCGGCACGCACUGGCGGCGGCGCUUAGCAGGGGUUGCGGCUAGACCGACCUGGGAGCGGCAUAAUCGGCAGGGGCUGGAGCGGCACCGGUCAGUACCGGCCUAGGAGGGGCGGAUUGGCAUGGGCUCGAGCGGCACCGAGCUAGAGCGGGCUGCUUCACUCCGCUGCCAUACUUGGCUGGCCGUCUCCCUCCUUCCCUCCAUGGACGCCACCACCGCCGCCGCGGGCCGCUGGUAGACCAAGACUAAGCCGGCGCAGGCCGAGGAUAAGUUACAGUCCAUCUAGACUAAGCUAGCGCAGGCUGUGCCUUAGGCCCAGUCUGUCUCCCUCGUCGUCUAGCUUUUUUUGGUCCUACAGAUUCGCCGAGGUCCCUCUCCUCUAUGUCCGUUUGACGCGGGCGUUUUCCAGUGCUGGAAGACUAGUCUUCGUGGAGAUAGACCACGACCUACUGACCUUUCUACCCAAGUCGUAAGUGUUCUAACUGCGGCUGCUGCUACUGCGCCUGGAACCGGUCGGUGGCCAGGAGGCCAACCACA
rnacentral:rRNA from 1 species